GUGGGGAUAGCUCAGCGGUAGAGCACCUGCUUAGCGUGCACGAGGUCCUGGGUUCAAUCCCCAGUGCCUCCA
rnacentral:tRNA from 1 species